AACGAACGCUGGCGGCAGGCUUAACACAUGCAAGUCGAGCGCCCCGCAAGGGGAGCGGCAGACGGGUGAGUAACGCGUGGGAAUCUCCCCAUCUCUACGGAAUAACGCAUGGAAACGUGUGCUAAUACCGUGUACGUCCUUCGGGAGAAAGAUUUAUCGGAGAUGGAUGAGCCCGCGUUGGAUUAUCUAGUUGGUGGGGUAAAGGCCUACCAAGGCGACGAUCCAUAGCUGGUCUGAGAGGAUGAUCAGCCACACUGGGGCUGAGACACGGCCCAGACUCCUACGGGAGGCAGCAGUGGGGAAUAUUGGACAAUGGGCGCAAGCCUGAUCCAGCCAUGCCGCGUGAGUGAUGAAGGCCCUAGGGUUGUAAAGCUCUUUCACCGGUGAAGAUAAUGACGGUAACCGGAGAAGAAGCCCCGGCUAACUUCGUGCCAGCCGCCGCCGUAAUAC
rnacentral:rRNA from 1 species